rfam:Aneurinibacillus migulanus strain DSM 2895 super17, whole genome shotgun sequence.
UCUGGUGGCGAUGGCGAAGGGGUCACACCUGUUCCCAUCCCGAACACAGAAGUUAAGUCCUUCAGCGCCGAUGGUACUUGGGUGGCAACGCCCUGGGAGAGUAGGACGUCGCCAGGC